AACGAACGCUGGCGGCAUGCCUAACACAUGCAAGUCGAACGAGACCUUCGGGUCUAGUGGCGCACGGGUGCGUAACGCGUGGGAACCUGCCUUUAGGUUCGGAAUAACUCAGAGAAAUUUGAGCUAAUACCGGAUGAUGUCUUCGGACCAAAGAUUUAUCGCCUUUAGAUGGGCCCGCGUUGGAUUAGCUAGUUGGUGGGGUAAAGGCCUACCAAGGCGACGAUCCAUAGCUGGUCUGAGAGGAUGAUCAGCCACACUGGGACUGAGACACGGCCCAGACUCCUACGGGAGGCAGCAGUGGGGAAUAUUGGACAAUGGGCGAAAGCCUGAUCCAGCAAUGCCGCGUGAGUGAUGAAGGCCUUAGGGUUGUAAAGCUCUUUUACCCGAGAUGAUAAUGACAGUAUCGGGUGAAUAAGCGCCGGCUAACUCCGUG
rnacentral:rRNA from 1 species